rnacentral:snRNA from 1 species
UUGGAUAUUGUUACAUGUAUUUA